GAUUAAGUUAUUAAGGGCGCACGGUGGAUGCCUUGGCACUAGAAGCCGAUGAAGGACGUUACUAACGACGAUAUGCUUUGGGGAGCUGUAAGUAAGCUUUGAUCCAGAGAUUUCCGAAUGGGGAAACCCAGCAUGAGUUAUGUCAUGUUAUCGAUAUGUGAAUACAUAGCAUAUCAGAAGGCACACCCGGAGAACUGAAACAUCUUAGUACCCGGAGGAAGAGAAAGAAAAUUCGAUUCCCUUAGUAGCGGCGAGCGAAACGGGAAGAGCCCAAACCAACAAGCUUGCUUGUUGGGGUUGUAGGACACUCUAUACGGAGUUACAAAGGACGACAUUAGACGAAUCAUCUGGAAAGAUGAAUCAAAGAAGGUAAUAAUCCUGUAGUCGAAAAUGUUGUCUCUCUUGAGUGGAUCCUGAGUACGACGGAGCACGUGAAAUUCCGUCGGAAUCUGGGA
rnacentral:rRNA from 1 species